rnacentral:snRNA from 1 species
AUGCUGGUUCGGGCAGCGCAUAUACUAAAACUGGAACGAUACAGAGAAGAUUAGCACGGCCCCUGCGCAAGGAUGACACACAAAUUCAUGAACUGUUUCAUAUUUUU